rnacentral:rRNA from 1 species
AGUGAACGCUGGCGGUAGGCCUAACACAUGCAAGUCGAACGGCAGCACAGGAGAGCUUGCUCUCUGGGUGGCGAGUGGCGGACGGGUGAGGAAUACAUCGGAAUCUACUUUUUCGUGGGGGAUAACGUAGGGAAACUUACGCUAAUACCGCAUACGACCUACGGGUGAAAGCAGGGGAUCUUCGGACCUUGCGCGAUUGAAUGAGCCGAUGUCGGAUUAGCUAGUUGGCGGGGUAAAGGCCCACCAAGGCGACGAUCCGUAGCUGGUCUGAGAGGAUGAUCAGCCACACUGGAACUGAGACACGGUCCAGACUCCUACGGGAGGCAGCAGUGGGGAAUAUUGGACAAUGGGCGCAAGCCUGAUCCAGCCAUACCGCGUGGGUGAAGAAGGCCUUCGGGUUGUAAAGCCCUUUUGUUGGGAAAGAAAUCCAGCUGGUUAAUACCCGGUUGGGAUGACGGUACCCAAAGAAUAAGCACCGGCUAACUUCGUGCCAGCAGCCGCCGCCG